GGAAAGGCUAAGACUUGUGGCUUGUGUUGGAGAUAGGACGGAAUGUUGGGCUCAUCGGACGCCUGAAGGAUCAGGGGAAUGGCAGUACCCCAGCGAGUACUGGUAUAGCUCGGUGGAAUAAUUAGGCUACCAAGUGUUUCCAGUGGAGUUACCGGUGAUAUGGUAUCUUAAGUUACAAAGGACAGAAAAACAAAAUCCCAACUUGCGACUUGGUGGAAGCAGUUUUAAGAUGCAGCAAUGGAAGUUAAGCAUGUGACAAUGCGUUGACAUUGUAAAUGUUAACACAAGGAUGGGGACAGACAGCGACGGGAAGCAAGCCGAGUGACAAUUAUGACAACAACAAAUGCAGACUGCCUCACUAAAAACAUGUACUAUUUGCAGCAGCAAUUUCACUAACACUGAAGGGUGACAAAUGCAAAGUCGAAUUCAUCGUAGCCGUGUGACAAUUAGAGGAAGCAAUGUUAGUUAUAUAUAAUUAACAACUAAUAGGAUGGAAUGUAUAGUUGUUAGUAUAAUGAACAACUAGUGCCAAUGUAAAUACAGAUACAUAGGGGGCACUGAAACAUGCAGCAACACAGUGGGGGUUUCCAUGGCAACAUCAAGUCAACAU